UACGUAGGGGGCAAGCGUUGUCCGGAAUCAUUGGGCGUAAAGAGCGUGUAGGCGGCCCGAUAAGUCCGCUGUGAAAGUCCAGGGCUCAACCCUGGAAUGCCGGUGGAUACUGUCGGGCUCGAAUCCGGAAGAGGUGAGUGGAAUUCCUGGUGUAGCGGUGAAAUGCGUAGAUAUCUGGAGGAACAUCAGUGGCGAAGGCGGCUUCCUGGUCCAACACUGACACUGAGGUGCGAAAGCGUGGGGAGCAAACAGG
rnacentral:rRNA from 1 species